rnacentral:rRNA from 1 species
CGUAGAAAUCUACCCCGGAGUCUGGGAUAGCGUUGGGAAACUGGCGGUAAUACCGGAUAACGUCUUCGGACCAAAGGUGUGAUUCCGCUUUGGGAUGAGUCUACGACCUAUUAGCUAGUUGGAGGGGUAAUGGCCCACCAAGGCAACGAUGGGUAGCGGGUGUGAGAGCAUGACCCGCCUCACUGGGACUGAGACACUGCCCAGACAUCUACGGAUGGCUGCAGUCGAGAAUCUUUGUCAAUGGACGAAAGUCUGAACAAGCGACGCCGCGUGCGGGAUGAAGGCCCUCGGGUUGUAAACCGCUGUCGUAAGGGAGCAAAUCUAUUGGGGUACUCCCCUUUAGUUGAGCGAUCUUAGGAGGAAGGACGGGCUAAGUUCGUGCCAGCAGCCGCGGUAAGACGAACCGUCCGAACGUUAUUCGGUAUCACUGGGCUUAAAGAGUUCGUAGGCGGCCAUGUAGGUGGGGUGUGAAAUCCCUCGGCUCAACCGAGGAACUGCAUUUGAAACUGCUAGGCUUGAGUAUCGGAGGGGGCAGCGGAAUUCCCGGUGUAGAGGUGAAAUUCGUAGAUAUCGGGAGGAACACCAGUGGCGAAGGCGGCUGUCUGGACCAAUACUGACGCUGAGGCGCGAAAGCCAGGGGAGCGAACAGGAUUAGAUACCCUGGUAGUCCUGGCUGUAAACGAUGAAUACUGGGUUGGGGGAGCAUGUCUCUCCCAGCCGUAGCGAAAGCGUUAAGUAUUCCGCCUGGGGAGUAUGGUCGCAAGGCUGAAACUCAAAGGAAUUGACGGGGGCUCACACAAGCGGUGGAGGAUGUUGCUUAAUUCGAAGCAACGCGANAACCUUACCAGGACUUGACAUGCUAGUANUACGACCUGGAAACAGUGAGGA